GUGUGAGGAUUGACCCUUCAGUGCGCAGUUACCCAAUAAGUAAUCCACCUGGGGAGUACGACCGCAAGGUUGAAACUCAAAGGAAUUGACGGGGGCCCGCACAAGCAGUGGAGUAUGUGGUUUAAUUCGAAGCAACGCGAAGAACCUUACCAGGUCUUGACAUCCGAUGCAUAGUGCAGAGAUGCAUGAAGUCCUUCGGGACAUCGAGACAGGUGGUGCAUGGUUGUCGUCAGCUCGUGUCGUGAGAUGUUGGGUUAAGUCCCGCAACGAGCGCAACCCUUAUUGCCAGUUACUACGCAAGAGGACUCUGGCGAGACUGCCGUUGACAAAACGGAGGAAGGUGGGGAUGACGUCAAAUCAUCAUGCCCUUUAUGACCUGGGCUACACACGUACUACAAUGGCGUUUAACAAAGAGAAGCAAGACCGCGAGGUGGAGCAAAACUCAAAAACAACGUCUCAGUUCAGAUUGCAGGCUGCAACUCGCCUGCAUGAAGUCGGAAUUGCUAGUAAUCGCGGAUCAGCAUGCCGCGGUGAAUACGUUCCCGGGCCUUGUACACACCGCCCGUCACACCAUGAGAGCCGGGGGGACCCGAAGUCGGUAGUCUAACCGCAAGGAGGACGCCGCCGAAGGUAAAACUGGUGAUUGGGGUGAAGUCGUAAC
rnacentral:rRNA from 1 species